UACGCAGGGGGCUAGCGUUGCUCGGAAUCACUGGGCGUAAAGCGCACGUAGGCGGAUUUCCAAGUCAGUGGUGAAAGCCCGGGGCUCAACUCCGGAACUGCCAUUGAAACUGGCGAACUUGAGUACGAGAGAGGUGAGUGGAAUUCCCAGUGUAGAGGUGAAAUUCGUAGAUAUUGGGAAGAACACCGGUGGCGAAGGCGGCUCCCUGGCUCGUAACUGACGCUCAGGCGCGAAAGCGUGGGGAUCAAACAGG
rnacentral:rRNA from 1 species